UACGAAGGGGGCUAGCGUUGUUCGGAUUUACUGGGCGUAAAGCGCACGUAGGCGGAUUGUUAAGUCGGGGGUGAAAUCCUGGAGCUCAACUCCAGAACUGCCUUCGAUACUGGCGAUCUCGAGUUCGGGAGAGGUGAGUGGAACUGCGAGUGUAGAGGUGAAAUUCGUAGAUAUUCGCAAGAACACCAGUGGCGAAGGCGGCUCACUGGUCCGGAUCUGACGCUGAGGCGCGAAAGCGUGGGGAGCAAACAGG
rnacentral:rRNA from 1 species